UUCCUCUAGUUUUUGUAGCUUUUAACAUAUAAACUCAGUAUGCCUAUUAUAUUUUUACAUAUAAUUUUAAUUUUUUGAGAGUGUUUAUAAAGCUGUGGGGUGCUUUUUUUGUUCUGGUUUGUUUGUCAUUACCCUUGUUCGCUGUUAGUUUUUAGAGAUGCAAUUUUAGUAUUUCAUUUUUAGCCUAUUCAGCCUUUUAUUUUCUUGGAUUACUCUACCAGAUAGAACUUUCAACACAUAUUGAGCAUAAUCACUUGUCUUAGUUACUAUUCUGUUGCUUGGGGGAAACAUCAUGACCAAGGCAGUUUACACAAGGAAGCAUUUACUUGGGGCGGGGGGGGGGGGUGCCUAAUUUCAGAGGAUCAUCAUGGUGGGAAACAGGCAAGCAGGCAUGGUGCUAGAUAUGGAGCUAGGAGCUUUACAUACUGAUCCACAGGCAGCAGGCAGAGAGAGGAGAGAGAAAAGAAGAGAAGAGAGGAGGGAAUAAGAAUAGGGGAGGGGAGACAAGAUGAGACUGGCCUGGGCUUUUGAAACCUUAAAGCUCACUCCCCAUGAUACAUUUCCUCCGAGAGGGCCACACCUCCUAAUCCUUUCCAAACAGUUUCAACAACUGUGUAUGUGUCGUUUGUGUGAGUGUGUAUGUGUGUGUAGACAAUAAUGGGGAUGACAUACAUGGGAUGGACAUGAACAUUCAAACAUGAACCUACAGGGGCCAUUCUUUUUGUUUGUUUGUUUGUUUGUUUCUGGAGACAGGGUUUCUCUGUAUAGCCCUGGCUGUCCUGGGACUCACUCUGUAGACCAGGCUGGCUUUGAACUCAGAAAUCUGUCUGCCUCUGCUUCCUGAGUGCUGGGAUUAAAGGCGUGCACCUCUUAAAGGAACCCAGGACUACCAGUCCAGGGGUGGCACCAUCUACAAUGGGCUGGGCCCUCCAUCAAUCACAAAUUAAGAAAAUACCCUAUAGGCUUGCCUACAGCCUGAUCUUAUUGAGACAUUUUCUUAAUUGAGUUUCCCUCUUUUCACAUGACAGUAAAGCUGAUAUAAAACUACCCAGCACAGGGAGACUUGUCAUUUUUGAGAAUGGAAACUAUUCAGCAACUAUUAAAAGCUAUUUUCUUAACUUGGAGAAGUGGCCAACAAAUAAUGGAUUAUAACGUCCGGGUUGUAAUAAAUGGUGCUCGUUUGUUCAUCCGGCCCUCAAUUUAGCCCAAAUACUGUUUUCUACUUUCAUGAGGACUGUGAAUGCAUCUGACCUGAAAAAGUAGUGAGGCAGCAAAAGCAGAUAAGUUAUCAGAUCCAGUGUACCAAAGUAUGUGCCAGUUGUAUUCAUUUGAACCUUGAGUUUAAAAGUAACCUGGUUUUGCACUGCUCAUUAGUGUGAUACAAUAUCCAUUUGUUUUAAUGUAGUAAACUUACUAUCGUUUACUAAUUUUUAUUUUAACCGGGGUUCACUUCACCAAUUGUUUUUCCUUACCCAUAUGCUCUGUUCCUCAGAGCGUAGGAAGUAGGAGUGAAAGAUAGGAUGUAGAAUUACCAUGCAAACAAGUCACAGUGCCAGGGGCAUUUAUUAGGAGUUAUUUAGCUAGUCCAUUCCGUGGACUGAGAUCCCAGACCAAGUGAAAAGGAGCAAGCUAGCUGGGCAUGGCACUCACUGGGCCGUCACCCCGUGUCCCGAUUGUGGAUGCGCGGUGACCAGCAGUUGAUUUAGCCACAUGACUACCCUGAUAAUGACGACAUAUCCCCUGGAAAUAAGAACCAGAAUAAACCCUUACUUCCUUAAGUUGCUGUAACUUUAAAAGGAACAAAAGAAAUUCAGCAAGGUGUUUACACAAAAUGUUCUUAUGUUCAGUAAGUAGUUGAAAACAGCUGUUAAUGCUCUCAGAAGAGUAAGUGAGCUAAUGAAUAAAGGUAAGCAUAAAAUGUUUUUUUUUUGUUGUUUUUUUUUUAACUGAUACGAUGUGGAGUUUAAUUUGGGGAAAAUAUUUUAACCACUUCUAAAGCUGAUAAGAAAUUUUGAACAGUUGUACAACAGUUUAAAUAUUGUUCCUGUACGUGUGUUUGUGUAAGUGUGUUCUGUGGCUUUUUUUUUCUUGAGUGUUUGUGCACUAUUGUGUAUGGUGGUCAAGGAAUCCAUAAAAGCACCAGGUCCCCUGGCACUGGAGUUCCAGCUGGUUGUAACUAUCAUGUGGUUGUUAGGAACUGAUUGUAGGUCCUCUACAAGAGACGUAAGUGCUUUUAACCCCUGGGUCACUGCCAACUCUCCUCCCUCUUUACACAGACUCUCAUGUAGCUCAAACCAACGUUGGACUCACUAAGUAGCUCACGCUGACGUUGCGCUCCUAAUCAUCCUACUUCUCUGCCUACACCAAGUGUUGAGAUUUCAGGUUUGUGCCACCAUGCUUGGCUGAAUGCUGCACACCUUCUCAGCAAAAUGCCCCUUCUUUUGUGUAUGUUUAUGUGUGGGUGGGUGCAUGUGAUAGCCAAACAUCUAUGUCAGGUUCUCAAUAUCUUUCCACCCUAUUCUUCAGACAGAGUUGGUUAUUGCACCUAAAGCUUACGGAUUCAGCUAGAUGGACCAGCAAGCCCCAAGGGUCUUCCCAUCUCUACCUCCCCCACUCUGGCAUUAUAGAUACAUGCCACCACACCACACGCUUUAUGUGGGGGAUGGAGAUCCAAACUUGGGUCUUCAUGCUUGUGUGGCAGGUAGGCAUGUUAGUAACAGCUGUCUCCCCAGCCUGACACUCAUUUUAAUUAUUUUGAAGUAUUUGCUAGGAUUGAUCGUAGCGUACUACUAGUAAAAACAAAACCCAUGAUCUCUUACAGUGGGAUCAAGCUAGGAAAAAGAACUGCAAAGUCCCUAGCUAUUUAGAAUUAAUUCCAUGGGUUGAAAAUGAAAUAAUAUGAGGACCAGAGAGAUAGCUUAGCAGUCACAAGCAUUUGCUGCCCUAACAGGGCUCAGGUUUGAUUCCCUGUACCACAUACAGGCUCACAAGUAUCUGUAACUCUAGUUUUAGGGCACCACCUUCUGGCUUUUGGACACCAAGCAUACACAUGGUACAAAAUAUAUGCAAACAAAAUAGUCAUGUAAAAUUAAAAAUUCUUUUAGUAAAUUCUAACAGCAAAUGAAAUCAUACAGGAAGUUAGAAACUAUCUUGAAUGAUACUGAAGAUACGUUAAUACUUGUAGUAUACAACUUAAAGUAGUGCCUUCAUUUUUAUCCUUGACGUAAGAUCCCGCUAUCCUGCUGCCUGUCCCCUUCCAGUGCUAGGAUUACAGAUGCUUGCCACCAUAGCCAGCUAAAUUCAUGUUUUUUUAAAAAAUAAAUACAUUAACUGGGCAUAGUGUCUUAAACAUUUAAUCCCCGGUAUUCAAGAGAGUUCAAGAACAGCUGGGCUACAGAACAAUCCAGUUUCUAAAAGAAAAAGGACAAACUAGCAAAAAUGAAAUGAAGUAUAGAGUUGAGACAUUAC
rnacentral:lncRNA from 1 species